AAGAUGCAGCAAACACCAGCACAACCUAAACCCAUUUGAUUUCCCGUUGAUGUACAAUCCCCACCCCACAUGUCGAUUUAUUGGAAUCGAUUUCAUCAUCUCUCAUUUCAAGAUCUGGGGUUGCAGGCGUGUUAUCUCCUUCUUCCCUAAAUGUUGAUUUUAUCAUCUGUCGAUUUCUUGUCGAUGUACACUGUCAAGACCUUCAUCUCCAUUACAAUAAUUUGAGAGCCAUCAUCAAGAAUCACCAUCAGAUCGACGAAACUAAAGCAACACCAUAAAUUAUUUCUAAGUUCUUGAAUCUAGUCCGAAAAACAUGAGCCUCCGUUUCUCAUCGCAAGAUUCGAUUUUAAUCUUCAUUUUUUGAGGUUUCGCUCAACAUUUCAACAUCUGGUUCAAGAAUAAGUUUGCUCAUUCCGGAAAAAGCAGGCAGUCUCGCCAGAGAAGAUGAAGGAAUGAGAGGCAUUCUACGAAAAUGGUGGUGCUAGGAACUCGAUGUGGAAUGGUUGCUUGAUCUGUAAUCGAUUUCAAUUUCAUCAGAUUUCCAGUGAGUAAUUGUCUUCCUCGGAGGCUCUGAAAGAAUAUAUUCAACCAUGAUCGAUUGUUCUUCCUUAGGGAUGAAUAUACAAGCACAAAUCAAUUUUUAGAAACAAAAACCACACAUACAAAUCGAUUUCAUACUUUUUUCUAGGUUUUUAGUUCCUAAAUCAAUUUUAAAGGACAAACGAGUUCGUAUUCAUUUUCUGGGGUUUUUUUUUUUGAUGUUCCAGAUUUAUUUUGGUGUUUCAGAUUUAAUUUUGAUUUUUUUCUACUUCUAGAAAUGGUUUAGGAGUUAUGAAAUGUUUUUUUUUAUGUUUGUAUGUAUGUGUUGUUGGUGCCAUGGAGAGAGAGAGAGAGAGAGAGAGAGAGAGAGAGAGAGAGAGAGAGAGAGAGAUUAUAUAUCAAAUAAUUAUAUUUAGUUU